CCUACGGGAGGCAGCAGUAGGGAAUCUUCCGCAAUGGACGAAAGUCUGACGGAGCAACGCCGCGUGAACGAUGAAGGCCUUCGGGUCGUAAAGUUCUGUUGUCAGGGAAGAACAAGUACCGGAGUAACUGCCGGUACCUUGACGGUACCUGACCAGAAAGCCACGGCUAACUACGUGCCAGCAGCCGCGGUAAUACGUAGGUGGCAAGCGUUGUCCGGAAUUAUUGGGCGUAAAGCGCGCGCAGGCGGUCCUUUAAGUCUGAUGUGAAAGCCCACGGCUCAACCGUGGAGGGUCAUUGGAAACUGGGGGACUUGAGUGCAGAAGAGGAGAGUGGAAUUCCACGUGUAGCGGUGAAAUGCGUAGAGAUGUGGAGGAACACCAGUGGCGAAGGCGACUCUCUGGUCUGUAACUGACGCUGAGGCGCGAAAGCGUGGGGAGCAAACAGGAUUAGAUACCCUGGUAGUCCACGCCGUAAACGAUGAGUGCUAGGUGUUAGAGGGUUUCCGCCCUUUAGUGCUGCAGCUAACGCAUUAAGCACUCCGCCUGGGGAGUACGGCCGCAAGGCUGAAACUCAAAGGAAUUGACGG
rnacentral:rRNA from 1 species